CCUACGGGUGGCAGCAGUGAGGAAUAUUGGUCAAUGGGCGGGAGCCUGAACCAGCCAAGUCGCGUGAGGGAAGACGGUCCUAUGGAUUGUAAACCUCUUUAGGCGGGGAGCAAUGACGGGCACGCGUGCCCGGAGGGAGAGUACCCGCAGAAUAAGCAUCGGCGAACUCCGGGCCAGAAGCCGCGGUAAUACGUAGGUUGCGAGCGUUAUCCGGAUUUAUUGGGUUGAAAGGGAGCGUAGGUGGAUUGUUAAGUCGGGUGUGAAAGUUAGCGGCUCAACCGUAAAAUUGCAGUUGAAACUGGCAGUCUUGAGUACAGGAGAGGUGGGCGGAAUUCGUGGUGUAGCGGUGAAAUGCGUAGAUAUCACGAAGAACUCCGAUUGCGAAGGCAGCUCACUGGACUGCAACUGACACUGAGGCUCGAAAGUGUGGGUAUCAAACAGGAUUAGAUACCCUUGUAGUC
rnacentral:rRNA from 1 species